rnacentral:RNase_P_RNA from 1 species
AGAGUAGGCGAAGGUGGUUACGGACUCGCACGUUGUGAGAGUCUGAGGAAAGUCCGGGCUCCUGAAAGACCAGACUUGCUGGGUAACGCCCAGUGCGGGCGACCGUGAGGAUAGUGCCACAGAAACAUACCGCCGAUGGUGUAGAGACGUAGCCUGCUACGCCUUUACAAACAGGUAAGGGUGCAAAGGUGCGGUAAGAGCGCACCAGCAGCAUUGAGAGGUGCUGGCUCGGUAAACCCCGGUCAGGAGCAAGGUCGAAGGGACUAUGGUUGGUCUUUUACCAGUCCCGUUGUUAGAGAACUGCUUGAGGCGUCUGGUAACAGGCGUCCCAGAUAGAUAACCGCCCUUCCCGUGUAGAGACGUAGUACGCUAAGUCUCUACUGUGAAGAACAGAACCCGGCUUAUGUCCGACUCUUUCC